rnacentral:misc_RNA from 1 species
GGGAGCUUCGGCGACGGU